rnacentral:tRNA from 1 species
GCGGGAAUGGUGAAACUGGUAGACACGCUAGGUUUAGAGCCUAGUGCUUUAUUGGUAUGCGAGUUCAAGCCUCGCUUCCCGUA